rnacentral:rRNA from 1 species
UACGAAGGGAGCUAGCGUUGUUCGGAAUCACUGGGCGUAAAGCGCACGUAGGCGGAUGUGUCAGUCAGGGGUGAAAUCCCGGAGCUCAACUUCGGAACUGCCUUUGAUACAGCACGUCUUGAGUCCGAUAGAGGUGGGUGGAAUUCCUAGUGUAGAGGUGAAAUUCGUAGAUAUUAGGAAGAACACCAGUGGCGAAGGCGGCUCACUGGACGACUGUUGACGCUGAGGUGCGAAAGCGUGGGGAGCAAACAGGG